rnacentral:lncRNA from 1 species
ACCCCGCACGUCUUCGCCCUGUCAACCGCUCCCGCCUCUCGUUCACACACCCGCCAGCCCCGUCGCCGGCCGGCCCCUCCACCCAUCCCGCCGGCCCCUACGCAGCCCAGUCCCGCCAUCCAGCCACGCCGCCGGCCAGCCACUCCAUCGCCCAGCCCCGUCGGCCCUUGCGCAGCCCAGCCACGCCGCCGCACAGCCCCGUCGGCCCCCUGCUCUCCAUCGGCCUCCCUUCAUUCCCCAUCGCAAAAUCCAUCGCCUCCUCAACCACAAACCUCCACGCUCACACCCUGCCCUUUCAAGCAAGCAUGUGUCAUCGGCAGCCAUCCCUGCUCUCCAUCUUCAAGAACAAUGACAAGACGAGGGGAAGACAACUCCAUAAUGAUGGAUGCAAUGGCGGAGAUUCACCUCCAUGUCCACUGGUUGUACUUCAGAUGAGCAUGACCGUAUACUUUCCCCAGCCAGGCUGCAACAACGACAAGGCGUCAAGUAUCCCAUUCAUCUCUUCUUGGGUAUAGGACUGAUAGUUAUGUUCCUGCUUUGGUUUAUUUAAUAAGGAAUGAUAGUUCUGAUGGUGUUUGAUGCUACCAUGAGGAAGAAAAAUAUAUAUAAACGAAGUUCGGAAUAAAGAACCAUGAGGN